UGACGGUACCUGACUAAGAAGCUCCGGCUAAAUACGUGCCAGCAGCCGCGGUAAUACGUAUGGAGCAAGCGUUAUCCGGAUUUACUGGGUGUAAAGGGUGCGUAGGUGGCAGGGCAAGUCAGAUGUGAAAGACCGGGGCUCAACUCCGGGGCUGCAUUUGAAACUGUCUUGCUGGAGUGCAGGAGAGGUAAGCGGAAUUCCUAGUGUAGCGGUGAAAUGCGUAGAUAUUAGGAGGAACACCGGUGGCGAAGGCGGCUUACUGGACUGAAACUGACACUGAGGCACGAAAGCGUGGGGAGCAAACAGGAUUAGAUACCCUG
rnacentral:rRNA from 1 species